UUGUGCUGCCAGUGUACAAAGAUGGGGUCAGCUCUCGCUCCUUCAAGUUCUUCCAAGUAGUCUAUGCUUGGCUUCCUUUUGGAGGUUUCCAGAUAUUCUUUUAACGGAUACAUGACUUACUGGGGAGGGGACAGUUUUAGAUUUUUAAUCUCUAUAUGUAUAUCUCUAACUUUUAUUUCAAAUAUACAAGAUACAUUAGUGUGUGGGAAGAGGGUGUAUGUUUGAUGUUUACAUAAGAAGUGGUAUCCAAGGUGGGUACCGGUUGAAUUGUGACCUUAUGUGUCAUUUAUUACAACUGGAGUGAGCCUUUCAGGUGAGCAGAUUGUUUGAGGGGAGUUAGAGUCCUUACAUAUGUCAUCAGCACAACAUUUUCACAGACUGCUGGGCAGAAUUUAGACAGCUUGAGGAAGUGAUGACAAUGGCUGGAAGAAGAGUAGAAAGGGAGAGACACAGGGACUCCAGAGAGCUCUCUCACCCUCUUUCUGCCAUGAGAGGAAACAGCAA
rnacentral:lncRNA from 1 species